rnacentral:lncRNA from 1 species
GUCUGGCCAUGUGGGAUGUCUGUUCCUCGUUUCCCUCCUGCCAUGGCUGUUAAGUUUCCUGAGGCUUCACCAGAAACCAAGAGGAUUCCAGCACCACGCUUCCUGUGUAGCCUGGAGAACUCCAAGAAGGAUCGUGUCAGUCCUGCAACUUGUCAGUGGAAUUAAAUUUCAGGCGUUUUAAAGAUAAAUGGUAAAACUGAACUGGAAAUCCAUCUGGCCGGCUGCCUGCUCUAAUGAAUAACCCCACUUUGGCUCGUGCAAUGACUUCUUCCCUUUGGAAUGCAAGUGCGGUGGCAGUGUCAAGGAUGCCUGUGUGUUUGCAGCAGGUUCCUUCCAGAAGCAGCUGCAAGUGCCACCUCCAGGCCAUCUGGCCAAUGUGAGGAAAGGAGGCUGCAAGGGCUUGGCAAAAAACAACUUUCUGUUCCUCUGGUAUCCCCUGAUAACUGAUUUCAAGUUAUGGCCAAGGACUGCCUUAUCGCUAUCAGUGGCUGUCAAAAAUUUAUAAGUAUAUUCAUUUCCCUAUUCAACUUAAUUGGUAUUUUGGAUUUGACACUAGAAAAGCAAGUUUGACUUGCCUGUUGGAGUCCAAGGAUACCUCCAACAAAAUUCUAGACAAUGAAAGAAAGGGUAAGUGUCUGAGGGGAGGGGGCACUUACAAGUUAUUCCAUUUAAUGCUAAUUCGAGGCUUCCAGAUUCAUUUUGGGGCAAUCAAAGAGCAAGAGCUCUAUGCGUGGCUUUUUAAAACACAAAGAAAAUUGGGAAGCAUGGGCUUCCCAAUUUUCCUGCGCAUAAACUUCUAGAACAAUUUCUAUUGUUGAUACUUUAAAAAAAAUCUUUUUCUUUUCUGUGAUGUGGUCUUUUAAACUCAUAGCACAACUUAUGGCUCCCUGUACUUCCUAUAUUUUAAUUGAUCUUGAGGUUAUUUUCAAGUCACUGGGCUUAACGAACAAAUAUUUUAGAAUUUCUUCCUUUAUAUACACUCAUUUCUGUCUCAAUAAAAUGUCUAAUCAGGAAUUCACAUGUGUAGAAAAUAAAAAAUAGAAGUACAUACCCUUAAA